rnacentral:rRNA from 1 species
CAGACCACCAGCUAAGGUCCCAAAAUAUAUGUUAAGUGGAAAAGGAUGUGGCGUUGCCCAGACAACUAGGAUGUUGGCUUAGAAGCAGCCAUCAUUUAAAGAGUGCGUAAUAGCUCACUAGUCGAGUGACACUGCGCCGAAAAUGUACCGGGGCUAAACAUAUUACCGAAGCUGUGGAUUGUCCUUUGGACAAUGGUAGGAGAGCGUUCUAAGGGCGUUGAAGCAUGAUCGUAAGGACAUGUGGAGCGCUUAGAAGUGAGAAUGCCGGUGUGAGUAGCGAAAGACGGGUGAGAAUCCCGUCCACCGAUUGACUAAGGUUUCCAGAGGAAGGCUCGUCCGCUCUGGGUUAGUCGGGUCCUAAGCUGAGGCCGACAGGCGUAGGCGAUGGAUAACAGGUUGAUAUUCCUGUACCACCUAUAAUCGUUUUAAUCGAUGGGGGGACGCAGUAGGAUAGGCGAAGCGUGCGAUUGGAUUGCACGUCUAAGCAGUAAGGCUGAGUAUUAGGCAAAUCCGGUACUCGUUAAGGCUGAGC